rnacentral:rRNA from 1 species
UACGUAGGGAGCAAGCGUUGUCCGGAAUCAUUGGGCGUAAAGCGCGCGUAGGCGGCCUCAUAAGUCCGUUGUGAAAGUCAAAGGCUCAACCUUUGAAAGCCGAUGGAUACUGUGAGGCUAGAGUCCGGAAGAGGCGAGUGGAAUUCCUGGUGUAGCGGUGGAAUGCGCAGAUAUCAGGAGGAACACCGAUGGCGAAGGCAGGUCUCUGGGCCAUUACUGACGCUGAGAAGCGAAAGCAUGGGGAGCGAACAGG